rnacentral:rRNA from 1 species
AGUGAACGCUGGCGGUAGGCCUAACACAUGCAAGUCGAACGGCAGCACAGUAAGAGCUUGCUCUUACGGGUGGCGAGUGGCGGACGGGUGAGGCAUACAUCGGAAUCUUCUUUUUCGUGGGGGAUAACGUAGGGAAACUUACGCUAAUACCGCAUACGACCUACGGGUGAAAGCAGGGGAUCUUCGCACCUUGCGCGAUUGAAUGAGCUGAUGUCGGAUUAGCUAGUUGGCGGGGUAAAGGCCCACCAAGGCGACGAUCCGUAGCUGAUCUGAGAGGAUGAUCGGCCACACUGGAACUGAGACACGGUCCAGACUCCUACGGGAGGCAGCAGUGGGGAAUAUUCGGCAAUGGGCGCAAGCCUGAUCCAGCCAUACCGCGUGAGUGAAGAAGGCCUUCGGGUUGUAAAGCCCUUUUGUUGGGAAAGAAAAGCAGCAGGUUAAUACCCCGCUGUUCUGACGGUACCCAAUGAAUAAGCACCGGCUAACUACGUG